rnacentral:rRNA from 1 species
UACGGGGGGGGCAAGCGUUGUUCGGAAUUACUGGGCGUAAAGGGCUCGUAGGCGGCCAACUAAGUCCGACGUGAAAUCCCCAGGCUUAACCUGGGAACUGCGUCGGAUACUGGAUGGCUUGAAUUCGGGAGAGGGAUGCAGAAUUCCAGGUGUAGCGGUGAAAUGCGUAGAUAUCUGGAGGAAUACCGGUGGCGAAAGCGGCAUCCUGGACCAACACUGACGCUGAGGAGCGAAAGCCAGGGGAGCAAACGGG